UGCUACUGCUCCCCCUUAUGAGCUGCUGGAGACACUGUGUGGAAAAGCUUCAGAAACAAGCUGUGAGAGGCAAAUGUGAGUGUGGGUUGCAUGGGAGAAGAUGGAAGAGAGAGUAGCUCUGCUUGUGGAAGGGGACAUUACAAGAAGAGAGCUGUCCUUCUGCUCAGCUCUUGGUAAGUCCCAAAAUAGGCUUUUGAAAAGUUGAAGCAACUCAGUUAUAUAGGACAGCAUGCAAAGCAGCUGCUCCCUGAUGUCCCACAUUGAAUAUGCCAGUGAGAAUAGCUUAUGAAAACCUGGCUGCAAGGGAAGUCCACACUAAGAUCAUACAGUCUCUGUGGUAGAAUAUCACAAAAGCGACCCAACACCUGGGAAGAAUGAGCUCUGAACUUCAAUGAUUUCAGAAGGCUAAUUAAUUCCUUUCUUAAACUAUAUUAUACUACAAUUAUAUUACACUAUAUUACGCUAACAAGAAUUAUCACUAACUAGAAAAACCUGUGACUCUCUGCUGAGAGUCCCAACAGAGCUGUUGGAUCCAAUUGGUCCAUGAAUCCAAACAACCAUCACCAGAAUCCAAUCAAGCAAUCACCUUGGGUAAACAAUCUCCAAACAUGUUCCACAUGGGGACAAACACAGGCACAGUAAAUGAGAUAAAGAUUGUUUUGAUCCUUCUCUCUGUGCUUCUCCAGGAAAAAUCCUGAGAGAGGGAAUUAUGUCUCUCCGUUCAGAGAAUGUGAAUGCCACAGUAGCAGGCUGCACAGUCCUGCAGAACAGCUCACUUCUGCUACUGACAUCAUCUUUGAUCACCUCUCACUCUUGCCUGCUUUGAUGAGCAGAGGCUGUCUGAGAACACAGGCAUCAUCACAUUUAUCUAUGGGAUAUGAAUGGAACAAUGUCUGCGAACAUGGAGACAUCAGAUUCCCUGUAAGAAAGAUGGUGGUCUGGAGCAUUCAGUACAACCACAGAAACAGAAAUGUGGGCACCUGACGGCCUUCCUGGCUCUUCCUGACUGACAGCUGCUGUGCUGUCAGCUGCAGAUCACCCAAAGCUGUCACUGACAGGUAACAGAAGAAAUAGGAAACACAUUCCAUAAGAAGACUCACCACCAUGGAGAAGACAGCAUGAGUGCCUGGCUAAAAGGAGAAAGUAAAAUACUAACCCUCCUCUCCUCCUUACUUUUCUUUAAGAGCAAUCCCUCUCCUUAAUAUUGUGAGAAAAUGGCAGCUGCUACAUUUUAAGGGAUUUGACAAUUUACUGAUAGAUGCAGAGGGGAAGCUUGAUUUGCAAGCUUGUCAUAGAUUCUCUCUGCAAGAGAGAGAGUUAUGUCAGAGUAGGAACACGUUUUGAAAGUGAAUUAGCAGGAUGAGGGAAUUGUUUUGAAUAUUGGAAUGGUCAGGGCAGUCAAAUCUCUUGAAUGACUUCUGUGGCCCUUAGCUAGCAUCCUUUGACACCAAUCCACAGCAAGCUGGAACAGACAUGCACACACAUACACUUCAGGGUUACCCAAAGAAAAGUGCGAGGAGAAUAUUUUUGCAUUGUCUUUUACAAAAAGCAGUUGAGAUGUGGUGUUAAGUAAAUAUAAAACAAGAUUUAAACACCUGCAGACACACAUUUAUUUAUACACUUGUUUAUAAAUACUGAUAUUACAGGAGAAUCAUGACUUUGCCUUGAUUGAGGGCUGAGUUACUGAGCAUCGUGAGCUGUGGUUGAUAGGAUAAUACAAAUAUAGUGAGGUGAACCUUUAAUGGGCCAUGGAUCAAAAAGCCACUGGAGAACAGUGUCUGAAACUGCUGGGAAGGUGGUAUCAUGGAGAAAUUUGCUGGUGGCCUGUGUUGACAUCCAGCCAGAAGUCCCUGAGUAGCACAGACUAACAGAGAUUAAGGGGAGGCAUUAUUCUGAAAACAUCCAACAUCUCAUGGAAGCUGAUUUCUUCAGGUGGAACCAUCACAUGUUGGCACUGAGGUGCUGCCCAUCACCCAACACAGAGACAGACUGGACAGAGAAAUUUCAUGUUCCUCCAGGACUGGCUGUGCCAGCUCACUGUGCAUGAUGAAGAGCCCAGAUAAUUCUCAUGUGUGAGCCCUGCAGGUGCGGCUUUUUCCCCUCCAUCUUGUCCCCUGCUUGGGGAACUAAGUAGGUUGAGCCUGACAGUAUCACAUUGGUGUUUCUCUUUCACCUGUGGUAAAUGGGAACUAGAAAUAUAGGGGUGAAAAAAGAGAAUGAGUGAUGGAAGGAUGUCUUUGUCAAUAUGACAAUAAGAAAAAAACAAAAUCAGAAAAUGGAAGGAUGUCUUUGUCGAUAUGACAAUAAGAAAAAAACAAAAUCAGAAAGUGUAUGAGAAAUGUGCAAGACUUCAGUGACUGGCUGAGAAUUGUCAGUGGAUCAGAGACAGAACCAAGGGUGAAGGGAAUUGUCCUCAGAGAUGGCAAUCUGCCAUCUCAUCCUUGUCAGUAAUGUCUGGGGAUAUGACCACAGAGUGAAAGGGGUCCUCCCUUCCUCUCCCUUCAGAAAACACAGCCAACAGUACCUUGCUGCAGCCAUGCUCAUGGGAAAUGGAUGUCAGGAAAGGACCUGCUAAGGAUGACAAGCCAGCUGCCUGCUCCCCUGUGCAGCUCUCUCUUCAGUCUGGCUCUGUGUGUGCUCCAGAUUCUGCUGUCUUGAUAGAGGAGCUUGAAUAAAAAUAUCAGAAAAAAACUUCCUUGGGUGACUAAGCACUAAAAAAUGAAGUAAAAGACCUAUUAUAGCCAGCCUGAUAGAUGAAAUGAUGUUGAAAAAUGAGAUUAUAUACAGCAACGCUUUUGGCAGCCUAAGGGGAAAAGAAACCUCACUGUUAAGCAAAGUUUCUUUUCAAUUAUUGCUAUUAAUAAGCUGUGGUUGUAAUGAUUGGAUACAAUAAAUGUAGGUAGAGGUUACAU